rnacentral:rRNA from 1 species
CAGCCGCCGCGGUAAUACCGGCGGCCCGAGUGGCGGUCACUAUUAUUGGGCCUAAAGCGUCCGUAGCCGGGUUGGGAAGUCCUCCGGGAAAUCUGGCCGCUUAACGGUCAGAAUGCCGGAGGAUACUCCCAGCCUAGGGAGCGGGAGAGGCCGAGGGUAUUCCCGGAGGAGGGGUGAAAUCCUAUAAUCCCGGGACGACCACCUGUGGCGAAGGCGCUCGGCUGGAACGCGUCCGACGGUGAGGGACGAAGGCCAGGGGAGCAAACCGGAUUAGAUACCCGGGUAGUCCUGGCUGUAAACGAUGCGGACUUUGUGUCGGACAAGCUAUGAGCUUGUCCGGUGCCGGAGGGAAACCGUUAAGUCCGCCGCCUGGGGAGUACGGCCGCAAGGCUGAAACUUAAAGGAAUUGGCGGG